UACGUAGGGCGCAAGCGUUGUCCGGAUUUAUUGGGCGUAAAGAGCUCGUAGGCGGUGUGUCACGUCGGCCGUGAAAACCUGCAGCUUAACUGUGGGCGUGCGGUCGAUACGGGCAUCACUGGAGUUCGGCAGGGGAGACUGGAAUUCCUGGUGUAGCGGUGAAAUGCGCAGAUAUCAGGAGGAACACCGGUGGCGAAGGCGGGUCUCUGGGCCGAUACUGACGCUGAGGAGCGAAAGCGUGGGGAGCGAACAGG
rnacentral:rRNA from 1 species